rnacentral:rRNA from 1 species
AAUUGGAGGGCAAGUCUGGUGCCAGCAGCCGCGGUAAUUCCAGCUCCAAUAGCGUAUAUUAAAGUUGUUGCAGUUAAAAAGCUCGUAGUUGAAUUUCGGGAUCAAUAUUUCGGUCAUGCCGUUGGUAUGCACUGUUAUCAUUGAUUUCUCACCUUCUAAAGAACCGUAAUGCCAUUAAUUUGGUGUUACGGGGAAUUAGGACUGUUACCUUGAAAAAAUUAGAGUGUUUAAAGCAGGCUCACGCUUGAAUACAUUAGCAUGGGAUAAUGAAAUAGGACAUCCGAUUCUAUUUUGUUGGUUUCUAGGAUCGAUGUAAUGAUUAAUAGGGAUAGUUGGGGGCAUUAGUAUUCAAUUGUCAGAGGUGAAAUUCUUGGAUUUAUUGAAGACUAACUACUGCGAAAGCAUUUGCCAAGGAUGUUUUCAUUAAUCAAGAACGAAAGUUAGGGGAUCGAAGACGAUCAGAUACCGUCGUAGUCUUAACCAUAAACUAUGCCGACUAGGGAUCGGAUGAUGUUAAUUUUUUAAUGACUCAUUCGGCGCCUUACGGGAAACCAAAGUGU